CAUAACCGAAUUAGUCAAAUACAACAUAUUUUGAAUUGAGUAAAAUCUUGAUAAAUAAACUUAUAUGUUAGUCUACUUACCAUGUAUUAUUAUUUUAAUUAACAUUCUUACUUACCAGUUACCAUGUAUUAUAUUAUUAAUAGUAGACUAACAUUAGAAAUUCAUUUAUCAAUACUUUUUAUAUUUCUUAUCAGAUUAAAAAGUUAUAAUAAUACGUAAAUAAAAUUAUAUCAUAAAGGAAAAAAUAAUAUUGAUUUAGCUUUCCUCCAAUAAUAUAUUAUGCAGUACACAUCUAUGGUAAUUAAAAUAUAUUUUUAUCUUAGUUUCCUAAAAAAAACGUAAUGUAAUUUAUCUAUUUUAAAGUAAAAAAAUAAAAAAAUAUUUUGGCGGGAAAAAAUCGCAUCAGGAAAUGACACGUGUCAUUCCUAGUGUAUUCCUGGUGUCUCUUUUAAUAUAUAUAUAUAUAUAUAUAUAUUUUUUUUUUUUCCUCCAAUUCUCACCCCCACAACUCCACAAGUCGUGUUCUUCAAAUUCAUUCAACCUAAUUUCAUCUGUGGCCUCUCUCUUCGUAGGCCCCUUGACCCAAAUUCUUGCAAUUUCCCUAUUUCUUGGAAUCCAAGCACUUCCCAGUUGAAUUGAAGCCAAGUCGAGCAAGAUAAGGGCAAGUCUGCAGUUGGGCAUCUAGCUUGUCUACAGUUGCUCAAUCUCAGUGUUGUCCUGCAGAUGGCAGGCCUGGGCUGGAGGCUUUUGGAAGGUAGCAGUCAAGAUUUUGGAAUGGCGUUCUUUUAUCAUUUUUGCCAAAGUUGACUUAUGUGGACCUUGCUAGGCUAGUUCAGUCUCAUUUUUUAUGGCUUGUCUAGGUGUUGAUCUCUUAGGUUGUACAAACAAUUUGGUUUUCAAUGGAAGUUUUGUUUUUUU